GACGAACGCUGGCGGCGUGCCUAAUACAUGCAAGUCGAACGCAGUGGGGACGGGUGAGUAACACGUGGGUAACCUCCCAUCAGAGGGGAUAACACUUGGAAACAGGUGCUAAACCGAUACUGAUGGAUGGACCCGCGGUGGAUUAGCUAGGUGGUGGGGUCACGGCUCACCAAUGCCACGAUGCAUAGCCGGCCUGAGAGGGUGAGCGGCCACACUGGGACUGAGGCACGGCCCAGACUCCUACGGGAGGCAGCAGUAGGGAAUCUUCGGCAAUGGACGAAAGCCUGAUCGAGCAACGCCGCGUGUGUGAAGAAGGUUUUCGGAUCGUAAAACUCUGUCGUUAGAGAAGCGGUAUCUACCCAGAAAGCCACGGCUAACUACGUGCCAGCAGCCGCGGUAAUAC
rnacentral:rRNA from 1 species